CGUUCCCUGGGAUGCUCGCCAGUCGGUGCACGUCCUCGAGCCUUAUGUGGUACCAGGGGGUGAAGUGCAGAUCCCGGUGUGCAUGUCCGCGCGUCGGAAAGCCUGAGGGAUCGCCUGAACCUCCACCUUGAACUGUUUGGGUUCAAGGACAAUAUCGACAGCGGCACCUCCGGGGAGCGA
rnacentral:other from 1 species